UGGAUGAUGUGGUUAAUUCGAUGCAACGCGAAAACCUUACCCACCUUUGACAUGUACGGAAUCCUUUAGAGAUAGAGGAGUGCUCGAAAGAGAGCCGUAACACAGGUGCUGCAUGGCUGUCGUCAGCUCGUGUCGUGAGAUGUUGGGUUAAGUCCCGCAACGAGCGCAACCCUUGUCAUUAGUUGCUACAUUCAGUUGGGCACUCUAAUGAGACUGCCGGUGACAAACCGGAGGAAGGUGGGGAUGACGUCAAGUCCUCAUGGCCCUUAUAGGUGGGGCUACACACGUCAUACAAUGGAUGGUACAAAGGGUUGCCAAGCCGCGAGGUGGAGCCAAUCCCAGAAAGCCGAUCGUAGUCCGGAUUGUUCUCUGCAACUCGAGAGCAUGAAGUCGGAGUCGCUAGUAAUCGCGGAUCAGCAUACUGCGGUGAAUACGUUCCCGGGUCUU
rnacentral:rRNA from 1 species